rnacentral:rRNA from 2 species
UUUUCGGAUCGUAAAGCUCUGUUGUUAGGGAAGAACAAGUACCGUUCGAAUAGGGCGGUACCUUGACGGUACCUAACCAGAAAGCCACGGCUAACUACGUGCCAGCAGCCGCGGUAAUACGUAGGUGGCAAGCGUUGUCCGGAAUUAUUGGGCGUAAAGGGCUCGCAGGCGGUUUCUUAAGUCUGAUGUGAAAGCCCCCGGCUCAACCGGGGAGGGUCAUUGGAAACUGGGGAACUUGAGUGCAGAAGAGGAGAGUGGAAUUCCACGUGUAGCGGUGAAAUGCGUAGAGAUGUGGAGGAACACCAGUGGCGAAGGCGACUCUCUGGUCUGUAACUGACGCUGAGGAGCGAAAGCGUGGGGAGCGAACAGGAUUAGAUACCCUGGUAGUCCACGCCGUAAACGAUGAGUGCUAAGUGUUAGGGGGUUUCCGCCCCUUAGUGCUGCAGCUAACGCAUUAAGCACUCCGCCUGGGGAGUACGGUCGCAAGACU